UGUAUUCUGUAUUCUGUAGGUGUCGCUGUUGACACUGGAUUGUCUCCCUUGUAAUUAUUUAAAUCUCGCGUGUAUUUAUAUUUCACUCUGGUAAACAACUCACUUGUACUUUAAAAUACAUACUAUUAGGUGGCAACUGUGCUUAACAUAUUUUUCCAAAAAUUAAAAAAUAUAUCUACAUUUAUUAAUUAACAUGAAAAUUUAAAGGAAAAGAAAGAAAAAAAAUCAAAAAAAAAUCUAACAUUACAUUAAUCAAACCUGCGCGACUCGCAAAUAAAGUCACCCAACAAUCGCAUUAGUGUUUCAUUAGAGACGGAGACAUUGUCGUUUUUUUCUAUUGACAAUAAAAGUUCCAAAUCAAUGUGUAACGAUCCUGUGUUGAAGUAUAUCUCAUGUAUAAGUUUCUGUCUUGCCUCUUCAUAAUUUUCACAAAAUAGUAAAUAAUGUUCCACAGUUUCUAAUUGACCGCAUUCACACUUUGGGUCUAUAUUUUGAUUGAUUUUGUUUUGAUAAUUUUUUAGGUAGUAUCCGGAUCUUAAAUUUCUAAUAAUUUUUGCUGUUUUGUGAUCUGGAUAAUUAAAUGUCGAUUUAUUGC
rnacentral:lncRNA from 1 species